CACAGUUUGAAGAAGGGGAGGUCACCAGGGGAAAGAGCAGAAGCAAGAGGACCACUGCAAGGUGAUUGCAAUGGACAAGGUGAGAGAUGAGGAUCCAGUUUUAUUCUCUGGCCUGGUGUUUGCUUCAGCUCAAGAGUUCAAGACCAGCCUGGGCAACAUGGUGAAACUCCAUAUCUCCCUCACCCCAGCAAAAAAAAGUUUACUCCUGCCAACGGUUCAGAGGACAAAUUCAGCGAGGCAGUAUCUGGCUAUGGAGCAGGCUAAAGUGGAGAACCUGGAGAUGGAUAGGUUAGAAGAAAGUAAGAUAAUGAUUACAACAAAAGCAGGGUUCUGUGACAGAAGAAUCCUUGCUGUUGUAGG
rnacentral:lncRNA from 1 species